CUGGGUUGUGGUUGCUUUGCGCGGGCUUUCUCUAGUUGUGGCGAGUGGGGUUGCACUUCCUUUGUUGCCUGGGUUUCUCAUCACAGCGGCUUCUCUUGUGGUGGAGCACAGGCUCUAGGCGAGUGGCCUUCAGUAGCUGCAGCUCACAGGCUCUCCAGCACAGGCUCAAUAGUCCGGUGCACGGGCUUAGCUGCUCCACAGCAUGUGGAAUCUUCUGAGACCGGAGAUUGAACCCUGUUCCCUUCAUUGGCAGGUGACACAAGCUCGAUCCCUGAUGCUGGAAGAUCCCCCAUGCAGCGGAGCAACUAAGCCCAGGCACCACAGCUAUUGAGCCUGUGCCGCAACUACUGAAGCCUGCAGGCCUAGAGCCUGUGCUCCAAAACAAGAGAAGCCACUGCAAUGAGAAGCCUUCGCAGCACAACUAGAGAGGAGCCCCCACUCAUCACAGCUAGAGAAGAACCCUUGUAGCAACAAAAACCCAGCACAGCCAAAAAUAAAUACAUAAUUUUUUUUAAAGAAAGUUAUAUUCUCUACUGUACUAAAAACCUGCAAUCUAGGAGAUAGGAGAUGAAUGAAACAUAACAAAGGCUUUAGAGUCUUAGCCUGUUUCCUUCUACUGCCAACACUGUGGCCUUGGACCUAUUGCGAAAC
ensembl:lncRNA